rnacentral:rRNA from 1 species
UACGUAGGGGGCUAGCGUUGUCCGGAUUUAUUGGGCGUAAAGAGCGUGUAGGCGGCCAGGUAGGUCUGCUGUGAAAACUCGAGGCUCAACCUCGAGACGUCGGCGGAAACCAUCUGGCUAGAGUCCGGAAGAGGAGAGUGGAAUUCCUGGUGUAGCGGUGAAAUGCGCAGAUAUCAGGAAGAACACCCGUGGCGAAGGCGGCUCUCUGGGACGGUACUGACGCUGAGACGCGAAAGCGUGGGAGCAAACAGG